rnacentral:rRNA from 1 species
AGUGAACGCUGGCGGUAGGCCUAACACAUGCAAGUCGAACGGCAGCACAGUAAGAGCUUGCUCUUACGGGUGGCGAGUGGCGGACGGGUGAGGAAUACAUCGGAAUCUACUUUUUCGUGGGGGAUAACGUAGGGAAACUUACGCUAAUACCGCAUACGACCUACGGGUGAAAGCAGGGGAUCUUCGGACCUUGCGCGAUUGAAUGAGCCGAUGUCGGAUUAGCUAGUUGGCGGGGUAAAGGCCCACCAAGGCGACGAUCCGUAGCUGGUCUGAGAGGAUGAUCAGCCACACUGGAACUGAGACACGGUCCAGACUCCUACGGGAGGCAGCAGUGGGGAAUAUUGGACAAAGGGCGCAAGCCUGAUCCAGCCAUACCGAGUGGGUGAAGAAGGCCUUCGGGUUGUAAAGCCCUUUUGUUGGGAAAGAAAAGCAGCAGGUUAAUACCCCGCUGUUCUGACGGUACCCAAAGAAUAAGCACCGGCUAACUUCGUG